ensembl:lncRNA
AGACUGGCAAAUGUGACACCCAUCUUCAAAAAGGGCUGGAAAGAUGAUCCUGGUAGCUACAGACCUAUCAGGCUCACCUCAGUACCGGGGAAGGUUAUGGAACAGAUAAUCUCAGGAGCCAUCAUGGGCCAGUUAAAGGCCAACCAGGGGAUCAGGCCCAGUCAGCAUGGGUUUACGAACGGUAGAUCCUGUUUGACAAACCUGACUUAAUUCUAUGACAAGAUGACCCGCUUAGCAGAUGAAGGUAGGCUGUCAAUGUGGUCUACCUGGACUUCAGUAAGGCCUUUGACACUGUCCCCCACAACAUCCUCAUGGAGAAGCUAGCUGCCCAUGGUUUGGAUGGGUGUAUGCUCCACUGGGUGAAACACUGGCUGGAUGGCCGGGCCCAAAGAGUUGUGGUCAAUGGAAUUAAAUCCAGCUGGCGGCCGGUCACGAUUGGUGUCCCCCAGGGUUCAGUACUGGGGCCACUUCUAUUUAACAUCUUUACUAACGUCUAGCUGUAGUGUAGGUAAGCUGUAAGAUUUACAGAUCAUAUCCCAACGCUGACUACAAGAUAUUAUUUACAAUCAUUUCCUAACUUUUAGCCCUCAUUUAUGAAAGUGUUCUUCACAGCUCUCUCACUAACCCUAACAUAAAUUACAUAUAUAAAAACA